UGAGUGCAACCUCGCACCCAGUCGUUAUUUGCGGUCAUCCACAGGAAUCCUGAAGCGGAGGAGAAUUCCAACCCCGACCGCCAUGCACCAUUCGCUUCUUCAACCUCCCCAGAAUGCAUCGCGCAUACCCGUACUGAAAUAACUGGUUAAAACAUUGGUUAAUAAGACUACCUCGAGUUUGUAAAAUCUGGAGCAUAUAAGCCAGAGGAACAACUUGGUUGUCUGGUCCACAUAAAUGUCCAGGGCAAGAACUGCAUCAAAUUGUAAUAAUUCAGUUAUCUAAGUAAAUACUGAUGCAAAAAAACACCCCUUUCCUUUGUCAACCCAUAUGGAAAGAAAAUAGCAGAGCACUUACCACGGAUACCCUUGCGGUAGAAGAGAUUAUGCAACCUUAAGCCUGAAAUAAUCUGGUCAUUGUAAACCUAAACACAGAGAAUAUUUUAGUUCAGAAAUGCAUAGUGUUAAAGAUACAGCUCUGAACAGUGUAUCACUACCUAUACUAGGCUCACACCAAUAAAAUGUGUCUCAUGUUUGCUAGAAUGGUUUCAAAUACAGCAAUGUGACACUUGAAUUUUUCAUGUCUCAGAUGUACUACAGGCACUGCAUAAAGCGGACCCAGCAUAUCCUCCAAAUUUACAAGCAUAGAAUAGAAAGUUUUUGACAUUUCCUUACUUAAAGAACAAGGUGAAGGGGUUAGGGCAAUCAACAGCUGGAAUAUCAGUACACUACAGAUGCAUUAUAUGCUUUCUGUAAUUUCUAGUGUUUUUAAAUAGCUACCCAUCCAGACGUUUUAUAAUACAAAAAAGCUUUCUUUAUUUGAAGUGGAAAAAUAUAAAUAUAUGUAUUUUUUAUUUAUUGUUUUUUUGCUUGGUAUGCCUGAAAAAAAAAACUGAAAAAAAAAAACAUUGAAAAAAAGUUUUGAUUCUCCUGCAACUCCAAAUGCUAUGCUCCGGAAAAUUCAUUACUACUAUUUUAUUCCAGCAUAUACCUACAAUAAAUUAAAUGAUUUCGAGUGGUGGCUUGUUUCUUAUGCCCUUUAAAAUGCUGUAGGUUCAUAGCUGUCAACGUAACUUGCACAGAAAUCUUUUUAAAUCGGGUGAAAUGCAGAGGAUGUAUAAACAUUCUCACAAAAAUUAGGCUUGGUGAUGAGGUGCUAAAUCUUGUGACACCUGCCUAAUGUGUGAGUUGACAGCCUUGUAGGUUGAUUGUUUGGUUUUGUGUUUACCAUAUAAUUCGGUGAAGAGAUUUUAUACCAGCUCGACAAGGUUUGGAUGAAAUUUAGUGCUCAACUAGUCCUCUCUAUUUCAG